UUUUGAUUUCUUGGGUUAGAUAUGAAUGCUUUUUGUUUGCUAAUUCACUAAAGUAUUGCUUCUGCAAUAUAUCCGUAAAUUGAAUGGAAAGUAUUGCCAGUCAGAUCUAUAUCCCCAAUUUAUCUGUCAUCAUUACUGUAUCCUACUCAAGCCUUUCCGCACCUCCUUCAUAUUUUGAAAUACUGCUACAGGUCCUUGAUCAAAACAGA
rnacentral:misc_RNA from 1 species